rnacentral:rRNA from 1 species
UACGCAGGGUGCAAACGUUGCUCGGAAUUAUUGGGCGUCAAGCGCACGUAGGCGGCUUGGCAAGUCGGAUGUGAAAGCCCACGGCUCAACCAUGGAAGUGCAUCCGAAACUGCUGAGCUUGAGUACUUAAGAGGAUCGCGGAAUUCCCGGUGUAGAGGUGAAAUUCGUAGAUAUCGGGAGGAACACCAGUGGCGAAGGCGGCGAUCUGGGAAGAUACUGACGCUGAGACGCGAAAGCGUGGGGAGCGAACAGG